CAUAAACAUCUCGUCAACCACCUCGGUAGCUUGCUAGCCAACAUAGCGGAAAGAUUCAAGCUAUUUAUACGCUUUUGGUCUAUAUUAGCUAUUGUAUUUUAAACACACUUCUGUCGUAUCUACUUGUUAACCUAUUUCAUUUCGUACUUACGUUGUUUUUAUUAGUCAGCUAUAGUAGCUGGCUGGUUAAGUUAGCACUAGCCUAGUCGCUAAUGAUAGCUAGCUAACAUCCCCGACCAUGAGCUCCCUAAACUACUCCCCUCCUGUUAAAGAAGAGGGGGUCUGCUGGACGGAGAAAGAAGCUCUGGGGCUGAACAUUGUCGUGAAAGAGGAGAAGGAAGAGGAGGAUGUCACAGUUAAACAAGAAGUAGAGGGUGAGGCUGUUUCAGUGAAAGAAGAGGAAGACACGUUCAGAGUGAAAGAGGAGGAGGAGGAGUAUGUUAUUGUGAAAGAAGAGGAGGUAGAUAAAGAGGAGGAUGUCGUUUUUGGAGUGAAGAAGGAAGGAGAGAUUACUGUCACAUUGGAAGAUGAAGAGGAGGAGAUAGGAGAUCUGAUUAACACCAGAGAAAGAGCAGACUCUCACUAUGACAGCAGGAAGAGUCCUUCAGGGGAACCAGACCCAGAGACGCCCAAAACAGUGAGACAACAGCACUGCUCCCAUUGUGAAAAUAGUUUUCGCUGGUUAGGGAACCUAAAACGCCAUGAGAGGACACACACAGGAGAAAAGCCAUACCACUGCUUCCAAUGUGAAAAGAGAUUUAAACGAGUAGGAGACCUUAAAGCUCAUGAGAGAAUAAACACAGGAGCAAAGCCUUUCCAAUGCUCCCAGUGUGGAAAGAGUUUUAUCUGGUUAAGGAGCCUGAAGGAGCAUGAGAGAAUACACACUGAAAAAGCCCUAUCACUGCUCUCUCUCUGUGUGGAAGGACAUUUUCCCAGUCAGAGAACCUGAAAUCACAUGAGAGAAUAGAAAGGCUGUAUUCUGACUUAUAUUUUGAAAGAGAAUUUGAGUUUUUGUUUUGUGCCACAUGAAAUCAUAUUGUUUAGGAUUAUACCUGUCUAUAUAAGGUCCCAGAGUUUACAGUGCAUGUCAGAGCAAAUUCCAAGGCAUGAGGUUGAAGAAAUUGUCCGUAGAGCUCAGAGACAGGAUUGUGUCGAGGCACAGAUCUGGGGAAGGGUACCAAACAAUGUCUGCAGAAUUGAAGGUCCCCAAGAACACAGUGGCCGCCAUCAUUCUUAAAUGGAAGACGUUUGGAACCACCAAGACUCUUCCUAGAGCUGGCCGCCCGGCCAAACUGAGCAAUCGGGGGAGAAGGACCUUGGUCAGGGAGGUGACCAAGAACCCGAUGGUCACUCUGACUGAGCUCCAGAGUUCCUCUGUGGAGAUGUGAGAACCUUCCAGAAGGACAAUCAUCUCUGCAGCACUCCACCAAUCAGGCCUUUAUGGUAGAGAGGUCAGACGGAAGCCACUCCUCAGUAAAAGGCACAUGACAGCACGCUUGGAGUUUGCCAAAAGGCACCUAAAGACUCUCAGACCAUGAGAAACAUGAUUCUCUGGUCUGAAGAAACCAAGAUUGAACUCUUUGGCCUGACUGCCAAGCGGCUCACCUGGCGUAACGCGUGGUGGAGGCAGCAUCAUCCUGUGGGGAUGUUUUUCAGCGGCAGGGACUGGGAGACUAGUCGGGAUCGAGGGAAAGAUGAACAGAGUGCAGAGAGAUCCUUGAUGAAAACCUGCUACAGAGAGCUCAGGACCUCAGACUGGGGUGAAGGUUCACCUACCAAAGGGACAAUGACCCUAAGCACACAGCCAAGACAACGCAGGAGUUGCUUCGGGAGAAGUCUCUGAAUAACCUUGAGUGGUCCAGCCAGAGCCCGGACUUGAACCCGAUCGGAGACCUGAAAAUAGCUGCGCAGCGACGCUCCCCAUCCAACCUGACAAAGCUUGAGAGGAUCUGCAGAGAAGAAUGGGAGAAACUCCCCAAAUACAGGUGUGCCGAGCUUGUAGCGUCAUACUCCAGAAGGUGUUUUAACAAAGAGAGAGACGGAACUAUCGUGGAUCCUCUGGGGAGCCUCAACAACCUCAUGAUGCUGACGAGGCAGAGAAGAGUCUCUCCAGAUCAGAACACCUCAAGACACACCUACAGAGAACCACAGGGAAGAAAUCUCAUUGCUGCUCUGACUGUGGGAAGAGAUUCACCUCCUCAGCAGGCAUUACAAUUCAUCAGAGAAUCCACACAGGAGAGAAACCUUAUAGCUGUGAUCAAUGUGGGAAGAGAUAUCUUACAUGUAGCAGUCUGACUAAACACCAGAGAACACACACAGGAGAGAAACUUUUAAGCUGCUCUGACUGUGGAAAGAGUUUUGUUUCUUCAGGAUGUUUAGAAUCACACCAGAGAACACACACAGGAGAGAAACCUUAUAGCUGUGAUCAAUGUGGGAAGAGAUAUGUUACAUCUAGCAGUCUGACUAAACACCAGAGAACACACACAGGAGAGAAACCGUAUAACUGUAACCAAUGUGGGAAGACUUUUAGUCAGUCAUUCAGCCUGAUAUCACACCGGAGAACACACACAGGAGAGAAGCCUUAUAGCUGUGAUCAAUGUGGGAAGAGUUUUGUUACGUCUAGCAGUCUGACUAUACACCAGAGGACACACACAGGAGAGAAACCUUAUAGCUGUAAUCAAUGUGACAAGAGAUACUCUAGUAAAAGAUCUCUGAUCAAACAUCAGAAAAAACAUACAUGAAGGAGUUGUUUCACGAUAUCAAUGAAAUAAAAUCUCACAAUGUAGUAUGUUUUAACAUUGUAGAAGGAGUAUUUUAAUAAUGUCAAUGUAGAACCCUAAACGUUUGCUCCUUGUUCAAUUGAUUUCAGCAUGAUAUGGAUAUUAGCCUCACGGAAAAAUCUAGGGUCUGAAUUGAAAAGAGUACUAUUUAUGUGAUUUAACAAAAAGUGACUAACAAAAAAAGAGUUGUGUUACAUUUACCGCGUUGGUGACCCACUUGAAUCAAAAUGUAGCUAGCUGUUUUCCACAAAUUGUCCUCUAACCAGUGAUGUACACAUUAUUCCCAGAUUCCGUGUGUUUUUUGAGCUGUUCGUUUUAACAGGACGUGCAACCUCAUCUCCCUCCUCACGGCACAAAUGCUUUCAACAUGAUAUCGAUGAGUGAUGACAAAUAAGUGUUGCGUUCCUUUGUUUAGCGACCCCUACAUUUAAAUGGAUCACUCCAAAUUGUAGCCGACUGUCUUCUGCAGGUUGUCCUCUAACCAGUGAGGUAAAAGAUAUCUCCCAUUUCCAUGUUUUGUUUUAGUUGUUAGUUUCAACAGCACGUAUAACUGAUUUCCCCCCUAAUCGAUAUCCGUGAUUUAUUGCUACUUGUCAAAACGACUGCGUUUUUGGUGCUUGUGCAGUUUAUAUGGUGCUUGUUUAAAAAAAUACAAGUGAUAUGAUUAUUGUGGCAGAUGUUUGUGUAUAUAGCAUAUGUUAUGUUUAGGUUUUGAAUAUAUCACAAACUGUUUCUGCAUAUUGGUUAUUGAUUUGGACAUGUUAAAACUGUGUUUUUACAAUGGGGCUAUCCCAUAUAGCAAAAUGUCAUUGAAAAUGAGACUAUGCCCGAGACAUCCAAUAUCUGUUCGUUUGUAGUUGAAAGUGAAAGUUGAAAAUAUGUAUUUUCUGGUCGUUUUGUCAAUGACUUGAAAACAACUUAAUUUCAAUGUACUUGCAGCCUAUACACAUGGACGCAGUAUAAUAAAUUGGUCUGUAAUCAAUUUUAUUAACAAUC